rnacentral:lncRNA from 1 species
UAAAAGUCUUCUGAGGAUUGAGUGAUUUUUAAACAGUUAUUUUCAAGACACUUGAAUCUGUAGGCAGAGUCUUUGUAUGAGAAGGUGAGGAAGCUAACGGCACUAUAAUACUACCUGAUAUGUCAUAUGUUGUUCUGGGGUUGUGAGAGGUAAAUAAGACAUAAUCCUGCCUGGAAUGAAUGGGGUAGUUGUACUGGCACUAUCAGCUAUUUGAUUUCCUAAAAUAUUCUGCUGGAUGAAUAGAGUUAUAUCUGCACUAUUUGGAAAAUGACCCUUUCAUAGGUUCCAAGUAUUCCUUAACAGCGACUGCCAGUCAGUGUCAAAUCUGGCUUGAACACACUAUAAUUUCAAUUAAGUGGCACACCACUUAAAUAUGCACAUAAAUAAAUUGCAUAGAAAAAUUAUGGAGGGAGAGUAGAAUGAUCUAACAAUAAUGCAUGUCAAACUUAUGGUAAACACCUAUCAUGCCAAAUCCCCCUGACAUUUUUCCUUCUGGUGAAAAUAUAUACAGUAAUAUUUCUAUUAAGGAUGCUUUUAACAGUAAACUUUGAUGUCAGAAGCCUAGUUAUGAGAAGGAGAAAGAGGAAUAGUGAUAGUUUUUGGGGAGAUUCUUGUCUCACCACACUGACGGGGCACCGAAUUCCUUAAGUGUUAAGUGUAUAUAACUGUGGGUUUUGGUUUUUUGGGCCACAUGUGGAGAUUCUUUUCACUCUUAAGAGGAUCAUAAAAGGCCUAAGAAUGUGAAGCAUUUUUGUCAGUUUCAGGCCACCCGAGUAAGGUCUACCCUUCAGCAGGCUUCCUUGCUAGUUUGCCUUGGAAAAGUUUGUGCAUAACAUGCAUCCUUCUACCAUAGCAGUCACCACCAAUCCAGGUCUAAGGAUACGGGAUCUGGUCCCAUCUCCCUCCCACUUAUUGUCUCCCCAAUCCCAAGUCAAGUGUGUGACUAUAGAUUGCUCCUGUGUUUCAUAGAUGGGAAAUCAUACUGAUGACUCAACCAUAUAUAGCAUUAUUUUGCUGGUUCAUGCUACCUCAGCGGAAACAGCUGCCAAAGGUCAUCUGACAUAAUAGCUGAUGAAUUCAAGCCCAGUGGAUUUCAUUUGCAAUUUUCAAUUUACUGAGGCCUCCAAACCCCACGGUGAUAAAAGCUUCCCCUAUCGUGGCCUGUCACAAACAUCAAGAAACUGCACAAACCCACAAGAAAGAAAAAAGAGAAAGCUGUGCAUCAUCACAGCUAUAGAUAAGGAGAACAGGAAGAAAUGGUAUCAUGCAGGAAGAUGGGGAGCAGCCUGUGUGGCUAGUUCUCUAAAUGCCAAUUGAAACGAAAAGACUAUGAGGAACAAUCAAAUAACUUCCACAGAAUAACAACAUGUUUCUUUGGAGCUUUUAUGUGAAAAUUGCCUUCUAAUCUCUGACUUGACAUGCUCCCACACAAAAAUGUAAGUGUAAAUAUGCAAAUAAAUAAAUGAAUAAAUAAUCCUUGCUUACCUGGUCACUGGAAAGCACACUCUCUGUGCUGUAUUUACCACAGUUUUGCUUUACAAAAUGCAUGCUCAUAGAGGGUCUUUGAUCAUGGAAGUGUAGGCUCAGC